AUGAGGAUUCCACUCAUGUGUAUGAGGUAGUAAAUCUCCUUGUCUCAGCCUGCAGCAUUACCAGUCUGCUGAUCUGAUACUAGGAAGACGGGUAAAGCAAUUGAAUUGGCUUUUCAGCUCCAAAUGCUAUCUGAAGUCAGAGGCAUAGCCAGGCACCUCUAUGCUCAGCACAGCCACACCACACCAGGAGCGGUGUGAAUUGUAGCAGUGCUAUUAGCCACCACUGUGGUCACAGCUGGUUCUGCACCCCUGCAUGAAGAUGCUGCCUCUGAUACCCUGACCCCUCCCUCCCACUCCCGUUACACUACUCUCUGAGGUUUCAUUCAGGUGCCGUUCAAAUAAUUGUAACACAGAUGAUGAUGGUAUUAUGUGAUGUGAAACAUUAUGAUGUUAUCAUGUCAUGUAGCAUGUACCCUUUGCUUACAUCUUGGGAAGUAUUUCCUCUGCAUUCAGAAAGAGACCAAAUCUGAAUUUGAAAAUAAAAUUGACUUCAGUACCUUCUUUUGACAAAGCUAAAAAUAAACACUAUUGAUUAGU